UACGAAGGGUGCAAGCGGUGUUCGGAUUUACUGGGCGUAAAGCGCGCGCAGGCGGAUUAGCAAGUCAGAUGUGAAAUCUCGGUGCUUAACCCCGAAACUGCGUCUGAAACUGUUAAUCUAGAGUCUCGGAGGGGGAUGGGGAAGUUCCUGUGUAGGGGUAAAAUCCGUAGAGAUAGGAAGGAACACCUGAGGCGAAGGUGCCAUCCUGGACGAGAACUGACGCUGAGGCGCGAAAGCGUGGGGAGCAAACAGG
rnacentral:rRNA from 1 species